GACGAACGCUGGCGGCGUGCUUAACACAUGCAAGUCGAACGGAAAGGCCCUGCUUUUGUGGGGUGCUCGAGUGGCGAACGGGUGAGUAACACGUGAGUAACCUGCCCUUGACUUUGGGAUAACUUCAGGAAACUGGGGCUAAUACCGGAUAGGAGCUCCUGCUGCAUGGUGAGGGUUGGAAAGUUUCGGCGGUUGGGGAUGGACUCGCGGCUUAUCAGCUUGUUGGUGGGGUAGUGGCUUACCAAGGCUUUGACGGGUAGCCGGCCUGAGAGGGUGACCGGCCACAUUGGGACUGAGAUACGGCCCAGACUCCUACGGGAGGCAGCAGUGGGGAAUAUUGCACAAUGGGCGGAAGCCUGAUGCAGCAACGCCGCGUGCGGGAUGACGGCCUUCGGGUUGUAAACCGCUUUCGCCUGUGACGAAGCGUGAGUGACGGUAAUGGGUAAAGAAGCACCGGCUAACUACGUGCCAGCAGCCGCGGUGAUACGUAGGGUGCGAGCGUUGUCCGGAUUUAUUGGGCGUAAAGGGCUCGUAGGUGGUUGAUCGCGUCGGAAGUGUAAUCUUGGGGCUUAACCCUGAGCGUGCUUUCGAUACGGGUUGACUUGAGGAAGGUAGGGGAGAAUGGAAUUCCUGGUGGAGCGGUGGAAUGCGCAGAUAUCAGGAGGAACACCAGUGGCGAAGGCGGUUCUCUGGGCCUUUCCUGACGCUGAGGAGCGAAAGCGUGGGGAGCGAACAGGCUUAGAUACCCUGGUAGUCCACGCUGUAAACGGUGGGUACUAGGUGUGGGGUCCAUUCCACGGGUUCCGUGCCGUAGCUAACGCUUUAAGUACCCCGCCUGGGGAGUACGGCCGCAAGGCUAAAACUCAAAGGAAUUGACGGGGCCCCGCACAAGCGGCGGAGCAUGCGGAUUAAUUCGAUGCAACGCGUAGAACCUUACCUGGGUUUGACAUGGAUCGGGAGUGCUCAGAGAUGGGUGUGCCUCUUUUGGGGUCGGUUCACAGGUGGUGCAUGCCUGUCGUCAGCUCGUGUCGUGAGAUGUUGGGUUAAGUCCCGCAACGAGCGCAACCCUUGUUCACUGUUGCCAGCACGUUAUGGUGGGGACUCAGUGGAGACCGCCGGGGUCAACUCGGAGGAAGGUGGGGAUGACGUCAAGUCCUCAUGCCCCUUAUGUCCAGGGCUUCACGCAUGCUAGAAUGGCUGGUACAGAGAGUGGCGAGCCUGUGAGGGUGAGCGAAUCUCGGAAAGCCGGUCUCAGUUCGGAUUGGGGUCUGCAACUCGACCUCAUGAAGUCGGAGUCGCUAGUAAUCGCAGAUCAGCAACGCUGCGGUGAAAACGUUCCCGGGGCU
rnacentral:rRNA from 1 species